GCUCCGGUAGUGUAGCGGAUAGCAUUCAGCCCUGUCACGGCUGCGACCCGGGUUCGAAUCCCGGCCGGGGCG
rnacentral:tRNA from 1 species